UAUUUCGAAAGGAAAAAGCCAGAAGAAAUAAAUAAAUUUAUAUUUUGGAUAUUUCUUAAAUGGCAACAGCACAUACCAAAAUUUAAGAUAAUCGACUAGUAGUCUUGGUCCUUUUUAAAUUUCAUUAAUAUAUAACAUACCUUUUACAAAAUAUUGGAUGAUAGUAAAAAAAAAAACAUACUUACCAAGAUUUAAGAUAAAUGACUGGUAGUCUUGGUCCUUCUUAAAGGAAAAUCAGAUGACAGUAAUAAGAGGAUUCGAGGAUAAUUUUCUGGAGGAUUCAUUUGCAACGUUUGCUCCAUGGGGUACAAAUCCGAAAGCAGUCUCAAGAGCCACAAGAGGUACGAAUGCGGGAAGAUGGCUCAGUUUAAAUGCGACUUAUGCAACUUCAAGACAAAGCGCAAGUACAAUUACAACCGGCACAGAGUUAUCGUACAUGCGCUACCCAUGAGCGAUUUCAUCCGAACUGAGAGCUUUAAUUAAUAAAUACAAAGAUGUACAUCAAAUCUGACUCAAACUUGAAGGAUACUGUUUAUUUUAUUCAUAAAAUAAAAAACGUUAUAUUUUUGUUUUAAUAAAAAUGUAUGAGGUCUA